rnacentral:rRNA from 1 species
UACAGAGGGUGCGAGCGUUAAUCGGAAUUACUGGGCGUAAAGCGCACGUAGGCGGCUUUGCAAGUCGGGUGUGAAAUCCCCGGGCUCAACCUGGGAACUGCAUCCGAGACUGCAUUGCUAGAGUAUGGGAGAGGGAAGCGUAAUUUCUGGUGUAGCAGUGAAAUGCGUAGAUAUCAGAAGGAACAUCAGUGGCGAAGGCGGCUUCCUGGACCAAUACUGACGAUCAGGUGCGAAAGCGUGGGGAGCAAACAGG